CAUUAAUCCUCUAUGACUGAAUCCCCAUAGUAUACAAUUUAUUUCUCCAUGGGCAACAAGACAUGCCAGCAACUGCACGGCUACUUCUCCAUUUAGCCACUAUCCCAGAGAAUUCUGCCACCUUCCAGAGCCAACUGUUUUCCCCUUUCUCUGCGUUUGAUAGAAAAGAAAGAUAAGAAAUAAAUAGGGCUUAAUUUCCCAAACCAUUUAUGUAGUUUUUCCUCCUUUUCAGGACAGAGAAUAAAGGGUCCCUGUAUUCAUGCCUUCCUGGAAAUCUCAGUGCAAGGCCCUAUCAGGAGGUUUCCUGGAGCAGCUAAGGGAACAGCUAGACCACCCAGGAAGAAAUGACAGAAGCCUACCUGACUUCCAAUCUGCUUGCUUCAUGGUGUAAUGGGGGCCUAGACAGAAGCACCCCAAGGACACUUACAACAACUGUUCUGCCAGCUCUAGUCCAUUGGAGAAGAUGUGCCAACAUACCUUCUCACCAUCCCUAGAGCCCAACCUUGCUAUGGAAAGGUCAAACCCUUACCAUUGGCCCUGCCAAGGAUCCCCAGACAGAGAAGCACAAUGGAGGCCAUAAAUUAUGGCUUCUUAUCAUGGCCUCCACAUAACUUAAACUCUGGAUGGUGAAUGAAAUCUGGGGCCAAGUCUUAAAGGGUCAGGGUAGCCAAUGAGCAUAACUCAAUAUUUGUGUUUCUAAGAGAAAACCACAGAACCUCCAUAUCCAUGGCAAACUGGCCAGCCACAGGCUGGAUCCAGUGUGCAGUAGUGUUUUGUGUACACCAUUCACUAUUUGUCUACUUGGGUUAAAAAUGUUUUAUAUUAGUUAGCAAUGUUUAAACAUUGGGAGAAUUAAAGGGAAAUGAAAACGUACUUCCCACAAAUACUUGCACAUAAAUAUUCACAGCAGCAUUGUUUAUAAUUGCCCAAAACUAGAAACAACCCAAAUAUCCAUCAACUGAUGAAUGAUAAACAAGUUGUGGUAUAUUCAUCCAAUAAAACAAUAUUCAGCAAUAAAAAUAAACAAAUCAGGCACUUAAUAUAAUUGAAUAUCAAGGUCAUUAUGUUGAGUGAAAGAGGCCAGAAAAUAAAAGUAUACACUAUUUGAUUCCAUUUAUAUAAUAUUCUAGAAAAUGAAAACCAGUCUAUACUUACAGAAAACAAGGUGGUAGCUUACAGAGAUGGGGUAGAGGGAGGGAGAGAUGACAGAGAGGCAUAAAAAAACUUUCCGGACAAUGAAAAUGUUCUGUAUUUUAAUUGUGGUGAUGGUUUCAUGGAUGUACAAGUUCAUCAAAUCUCAUCAAGUUAAAUAUAUGCAUUUAUUUUAUAUUAAGUGUACCUCAAUAAAGCAGAAAAAUUUAAAAUUGGUAAUAUUUAUAUACAAAUUGAGAUAUCUAUAUUUCUUGAAAAUCAAAAUGUCUGACAUCAUUUGGUCUACAUAUUUAUCUGCCAAAAAUACAGGAGAUAGACAGUAGCUGUCCUUUAGAAGGGGCAUACCCUUUCGAGUUUGCAACAGGCCUUCAUACUUCCUGCUGCUUACCCAGCAUUCAUUACAUGUUUAUUGUCAUUUAUUUAAGUUACUUAUUGUGAACCUAAUGCAUGUAUGGCCUCAUUCUAGGUACUGGAGACUAAACAUGCAAACACACCUAACUGGCAUGGUUUCCAUUUGCCUAAUUGUCACGGGGUACCAUGAAGUUUACAUUUUAGUGAGAUUGGAGAAAGAUAGACAUUUAGAGUUAAUAAGUUGGAUAAAUAGUAUAUUAGGUGGAAAGAAGUAUAAGAAAAAAACAUACAGCCAGGAAGAAGUAUAGACAGUUCCAGAGCUAAAAUGUUAGCCAUGGAUCCCAGGAAGUCCUCACUGAAAGGUGACUUUGGGAGGAAACCUGUAGAAGGUGAGGAAUUGAGCUAUGCAUAUAACCCAGGGAAGAGCAUUCUAGACAGACAUGACAGUCCAUGAGAAGAUUCUAGGCAAGGGAGGUAGCCCAGGGUCUUCAACCAACAGCAAGGAGGCUAAUCUAGCUUGGCACAGAGUAACAAGAGAUGAGAUCAGAGAAAUAACAGGGUAGAGAUGGUGUGGAGUCUUAUAGAUUAUUGAAGGGAGUUUGUCAUUUACUGGAUGAAAUAGGAAGCCUUUGGAGGGUGUUGUUAAUUGUAAUCAUGAUAGGGUUAUUACUUUUCUUAUAGUAGAGUUCAAAAGAAAGGAAAACUUAUUUUUGUAACCAGGUCAUUAACCUGGCCCCUGUAGACAUCUGAGUUUGUAAUUUCUGUCAUAUUUUAUCUAAAUAUCAUGAUAGAGAACAAAAUAUCUGACUGGUUCUGUACUGAUAGGCAGUCAGUCAUGCUGGCUAACUUUCAGAAAUAUGCCAUGUUUGGUGGUCUCCUUUCUCUCUGUUUUCUCUAGGUUGAAUAUGGGGAUUCAACCACAUCACUUCACUCUCUCACCCCUUAUAGCACACGCUUCUCUCCCUUUCCUUGGCAUCCCCUGGCCCUAUCAUGACCUGAGGUCUUCCCUACCACUUUGGGGGCUCCCAUCUAAAAAUGCAUUCUAAGUCCUCUACCUGGAACUAAUUUAUCUCCAGGUCUACACUACUGAUAACAAGAUAUACGAUCCCUUGCAAAGGAACUUGUAACACCCUGAAAUUACUCAGAAAUCACACCUCACAGGAGAUUGAGACCAUCCUGGCUAACACGGUGAAACCCCGUCUCUACUAAAAAUACAAAAAAUUAGCCAGGCGUGGUGGUGGGCGCCUGUAGUCCCAGCUACUCAGGAGGCUGAGGCAGGAGAAUGGCAUGAACCCAGGAGGAGGACCUUGCAGUGAGCCGAGAUCGCGCCACUGCACUCCAGCCCGGGCGACAGAGCAAGACUCCGUCUCAAAAAAAAAAAAAAAAAAAGAAAGAAAAGAAAUCACACCUCACAGGCAAACUCUGUAAGUGGGCUCCUGUAGGAAAGCAGCCUGUUGCAUGGCAAGAAAAAUGCCAUCUUGAAGUGAAAUCGUCAUUAAUUCCUGCAUAUCCAGGCAUUCCCACAGCAAGGUCAAGAAACAAUGCCUAUAUCAUAGAUAACUUCUCAUAAAGAUGCUUCUCUAACUUCCCCAGUGGUCAUGAAUGUCAUAAGAGGGUCUGAGACGUGACCAGCAGCGCAUGUCUUACCAAAAAAAAAAGCUUGCUACAGAAAGGAUAUUUUCUGGAGUGCCGAGUGUGGGGAUCCAUCAUCUUGUGGCUACCCAAAGCAUGGCUUCUGUUUGUUACGUCCCUACUAAAUGUUUCUUUCUGGGAAACUGAAUUUGUCAGCCUCUUUCUUUGGCCUGUCAGCUCUCUUGGCUUUCGGGGGUAGAUCUGCAUAUACCUACUCACCCAGAACAUUUGGUGAGUCAGUCAGGAGCUAAGAGGCCAAGAGACAGGAAAGGGGAAUGAAGCAUCUGUACGGGAAAUCCCAGGCCAGCCACGUCUAUGUGGGAUGGUGUGGCACGUCUGUUAGAUGCAUUUGGACUCUGUGUGACUAUGGAGACACCCUGAACAAGCUGGUUGGCCUAGAGUGGUUAUUAACUGAAAGGCAUAUGGUGCAGUGUGGUAAGGAAGGGCAGUGGAUAGCCACUGCAGUGGGUUGGCUGCUUCUGUGGGCCAUUUGUUUGUCAACACAGGUUUAGCUAGCAAUAGAAAUGAAAAGCAAAUGGCUAGAGGAAAAUUGCACCAACCUGAUAGAAAAGGACAUGUGCCUUUUCACUUCUCUGAUUGCGUCCAGUGUAGCUACAUGUUUUACCAAAAAAAAAAAGAAAAAAAAAAAGCCUGCUAUAGAAAGAAUAUUUCAGGAGGGUAGGUGUGGAAAUCUAUGGUCUCUCAGCUGCCCAAGGCAUUGCUUCUGUUCAUAGGUUCCUAUCAAAUGUUUCUUUCUGAGAAACUGGAUUUGUCAGCCUCUUUUCUCUGGCUUCCCAGCUUCCUUGGCCUUUGAGGGGGAGACCUGCAUAUAUCUGUUCACUGCAGAACAGCCCCAUACAUGAAAUGAAUUUUGAGAUUAGAGGAAGAAGUUUCAUUUAUAAGCCCAAAGCAAACAAUUAGGAAAAAAAAUUAUGCUCAGGAAGUUAGGGACUAAGAACUAACCUAAUUACAGGGCUAAAGAAGGAAAUUUGGCCAAAAUAAUCUGACAGAAUGCAAUUUCAACAAAGGCAAAUUAAACCAAGGUAAGUCACUCCAUGUACAUUUGUGUCUAAAUUAAUAUCCCUAGUCACAAAUAACAACUUAAACUUAUAGAAGUAGUUGAUGAAACCAGCUGACACAGAGAGCCAUGUAUCAAUCUUGAUUAUAGAACCUUCUGGAGAUCAUGGUUAUUUCAAAAUAUAUGGACACUGAGGGUGCAUCAAAAGGGCUAAAAGAUUAUGGCUAGAAGAUAAAAUAGAUGUGUCUCUCUAUUCCUUUCUCUAGAUAUAGCUAAAAUCUCUGGACAUCAUACAUAAACAUAAAAAUACUCGGAAAGGUGGAGACAAAAAAACAGGUCAGUUAGGGACUUUGAAACCUUAAAAAACAGCAUGGCACUGAGGUCUCUAGAUUUCCUCGUGCCUUAUAUAUUUCAUACUGGAUGCUAGAGAAGCCUGCAACCCAAAAUACCAACAUACACUGAUAAAAGAAAAAAAAGCCCCAAGAAAACCAAGGAAGGGUCAAAGGGUCAGCCUAGUGAAAAAGAAAAAAUCAUCUAAUUAAUUCAAUUUUUAAAAAAUAAUUUCAACUUUUAUUUUAGAUUCAAGGAAUAAAUGUGUAGGUUUGUUUCCUGGGUAUACUGUAUGAUGCUGAGGUUUGGGGUAUGAUUGACCCUGUCACCCAGACAGUGAUCAUAGUACCCAAUAGCUUUUCAACCCUUGCCCUCCCCCUUCCCUUGCCCCUUUAGCGGUCUCCAGUGUCUAUUGUUUCCAUAUUUAUGUCCAUGAGUAUCCACUGUUUAGCUCCAACUUAUAAGUGAAAAGAUGUGGUAUUUGUUUUUCUGUUUCUGUAUUGAUUAGCUUAUGAUAUGGUUAGGCUCUGUGUCCCCACCCAAAUCUCAUCUUGAAUUUUAAUCCCCAUAAUCCCCAUAUGUUGAGGGUGGAACAGGUGCAGAUAAUUGAAUCAUAGGGGCAGUUUCCUCUAUGCUGUUCUUAUGAUAAUGAGUGAGUUUUCAUGAGAUCCAAUGGUUUUAUAAGGGGCUUCCCCUCUUCACUUGGCACUCACUCCAUCCUGCCACCCUAUGAAGAAGGUGCAUGCUUUUCCUUUGCCUUCUGCCAUGAUUGUAAGUUUCCUGAGGCCUCCCCAGCAAUACGGAACUGUGAGUUAAUUAAAUCUCUUUCCUUUAUAAAUUACCAAGUCUCAGGUAUUUCUUCAUAGCAGCAUGAGAAUGGACUAAUACAGCUUAGGAUAAUGGCCUUCAGCUGCAUCCAUGUUGCUACAAAGGACAUGAUUUUCUUCCUUUCUAUGGCUACAUAGUAUCCUACGGUACAUAUAUACCACACUUUCUUUAUGCAGUCCACCAUUGACGGGCACCUAGGUUGAUUCUGUGUCUUUGCUAUUAUGAAUACUGCUACAAUGUACAAACAAGUACAUGUGUCUUUUCGGUAGAAUAAUUUAUUUUCUUUUGAAUAUAUACCCAGUAAUGAGAUUGCUGGGUCAAGUGGUAGUUCUAAGUUCCUUGAGAAAUCUCCAAAGUGCAGAAAUAAAAUUUUUGACAAUAACCACCCAACUCCAGCCAAACAUUAGGAGGAAAACUGUAGCCCUGUCCUGAUCCCAUCAGCAAAGGCCAAGUGGGAACGCUAUACUUCCACCUUUACCCAGAUGUAAUGAGGUGCUCUCUUUCCUCCUGAGAGUGCCAAUGAAAGCUGCACUGGGAACCUAAACCUCUACCCCCAUGUGGCAGUUAUGGGGCAGCACUUUCCUUUCCAUGCUGAUGUGGUUUCAGAUGAGGCUUGCUGAAACAGAAAAUUUAAACAAGAUCCAGAGUCUUCUGACUUAAUGCCUCAAAUGUCCACAAUAUUAAAGUUUACUCAUCACACCAAAAACCAAAAAAAAACUCAAUGUGAAUGAGAAAAGACAAUAACCAGAUGCUGUCUUAGUCUAUUUUGUGCUGCUACAGCUGAUCACCGACUGGGUAAUUUAUAAUAAACAGAAAUUUAUUGGCUCAUGGUUCCAGAGGCAGGGAAAUCCAAGAUCAAGAGGCCAGCAUCUGGCGAGGGCUUUCUUGCUAUGUCAUCCCAUGGUGGAAGAGCAAAGAGAGAAUAAGAGAGGGAGAGUAAGAAAGGAGAGGGGCAGAAAGAGAGGGCUGAACUUGUUUAAUUAAAAAAACAAACCCACUCCCAUAAUAAUGAACCCAGUCCAGUGAUGACAGCAUUAAUC
rnacentral:SRP_RNA from 10 species